GAGCACGUAGGUGGGUUUGUAAGUCAGGUGUGAAAGCCUUCUGUUCAACGGAAGAAUUGCAUCUGAAACUGCGAGUCUUGAGUGUAGGAGGGGAGAAUGGAACUUCUGGUGGAGCGGUGAAAUGCGUAGAUAUCAGAAGGAACGCCGGCGGCGAAAGCGAUUCUCUGGCCUAUUACUGACACUCAGUGUGCGAAAGCUAGGGGAGCAAACGGGACUAGAUACCCCGGUAGUCCUAGCCGUAAACGAUGGGCACUAAGUAGAGGGG
rnacentral:rRNA from 1 species